UCCAGAGGGAGUUCCUCUUGGCAAUAAUUUUGCAGGAAACAAAAAGCAGUUCUUUCUGCUUUCAGGCUAGCUAAAAGACAGAAGCCUUCUCCAUUAAUUGCACAACAUCUCCAGCUUUGCAACAGCUUGUUUGAAAAGAAGGCACUGAGACAUCUGAGAAGUCACUGGCAGGAGACAUGUCUGUUCACUCCCUCCAAGCAUGGCAAAGCCCUUCUCAUCACACCGACACAUUUCCAUGGGAUGGACAGGAGCCCUGCAGGAGUGGGACCAGCACAGUGGAUCUCUCCCUCCAUCCCCCACCAGAUUUAGCAUCGUGAGCCACUGACGUGUACUGGCCCUGAGCUGAGAGGGCGGUAACAUCCUCAACCCAGCAAAGCUGAACUGAUGAAGCUCAUGAAUCAAACGUUGGACACGAGGACUUCGACACAGUCAUCUCCUGUCCCGAGAGCAUCAUCUGGCUUUAGAGUCAGGGGUUGCUGGCUGCUGCCACACAGAUCCGGACCAUCACAUGGAGCAGGCACAAGCUGUAUGAAAGCAGAAAUGACUGCACUGUUGGCAUCAGCAAUAGCCCAUGCUAUGCAUGCAGACCCCAAAACAGGAGUGCAGCCCACUCCCACAUUUCCUGAUGAAAUCUGCUAUCAGAGCCCAUCCAAAUGUCCAAAAAUCAGGAGAGCUCAACCGGCCACGGAUGAAAUCUGCUAUCAGAGCCCAUCCAAAAAUCAGGAGAGCUCAACCGGUCACAGGGAAAAUCAAGUGCAACAGGACUUUGUACCUAAAUCUAAACACAGAAGACAAUGCUUGGAAAACAAAUUAUCUGAGCUUUUAUUAGGUUCUUAAUUCAGCUGGUUUUCCCCUCUGUUGGACUCCUGCUGCCUAAGAAGAGAUCUGUAUGACCAGGGCAUAAGUUCUACUGAAUGUUCAUGAGAGACUGGAGAGUUCCUGGGGUCUACUGGGAUUAGAGGGAAGGGCUGGUGACACCUGAUAGGCAGCUGGUCUGCAUCUGAAGCCAACUGUGACCCGUGCUUUAUUAGCACUAGACAUCUAUUUCAGGUCCCUUCCCUGUUCUCUGGCUUCUCGGAGGAGGUUUAAAAAACCCAUUCCUUGUGCUGUGGACAGGGUUGACAUUGAGGGAAGACACUGCUGUGACAGACUGCUUUGGACCAAUGUUUGUGACAAUUAUUGUGGCUGCUGCUGGUGUUUCACGUGCCCAUCUCUAUGGUACUCCCAUAGCUCUGAGUGGCCUUUGCAGAACUCUCUUACUGAUCUACCAGAAGUGCAACCUGGGUAGCAAUGAAGCUUAUGAAAGGCAUUUGCCCUCUAAAUCAUUGUUUCUCUCCUCGGUGUCCUUUUGAGGAAUAAACCAAAAUGUACGUGCUAAAUAAUGCUCA
rnacentral:lncRNA from 1 species